rfam:Otolemur garnettii contig050087, whole genome shotgun sequence.
GCCAGGCAUGGUGGCACAUACCUGUAGUCUCACUGAGGCCAGAGAGGAUCACUUGAGCCCAAGAGGUCUGGGCUGUGGUGCAUUGUGCUGGGUGGUGUCCACGCUAAUUUCAGCAUCAACAUUUGUGACCUCCUGGGAGUAAGGGACCACUAGGUUGCCUAAGGAGAGGUGAACCAAUCCAGGUCAGAAGUGAAGCAGGUCAAAACUUCCAUGCCGAUCGGUAGUGGCAUUGCACCUGUGAACAGCCACUGUACUCCAGCCUGGGCAACGUAGGGAGAUCCUGUCUCUUU